CAGCCCCCUUUGCAUUCAACCAUUGUGAUAUUUUUAGAAACACACUUAACAUGGUCUUUUAGGCCAGUGAAAAUUGUAUACAUCAGACAAAGUACCCCCAGUACAGGAUGGGCAUGGGGAGCAGUUGUCCCACUGAACUGCACUUUGGUUCUGGUGGGGGGGACGGGGGUUCCAUGGGGAAAUAAGAGGCCUCUGUGGUGGUCCCUGCCAGACUGGGAAAACCCAAAAUUAGGGCUGUACCUCCUGUGCCCGUCCUUCCAUUUUGCCUCUGCCUUCUCUUGCCCCACUUACCUCCUUUCCACACUCCUUCAGAGAGCAAGAAUGAGCUCUCCGUUGUUCUGUAUUGGCACCACAACCAGAAUUGUAAGGGCACCAGAAGCCGGGGGAAUGCCACCCUCCAGGACACUGCCAGCAGAGGGCACUGUUCUCGUUGUGAUGAAAACUACCCCCGUUUUCCUGCCGCCACCCCAGCUCCCAGGCCCUGUGGGCUAGCCUCAGGGACUUGGGCUUGCCCAGGUGAGCAGCGCCUCUGUUGGGCCUGAAGGCUGGGGCCGAGCCUUUUUGCCCUGUCGGAAAGAAACUCGGCCAGCCAGGUUUCUUGCUGUCUCGCUUUCCUUUGCCGCUAGGCUUUCACUGGGAAGCUGUUGGUUAGUAACUGGGGAAGACGGCGGUGUUGAUGUACCAAACCAGUAUGAAAAAGAGCGUUACUUAGUUCUCCAGGAUGGAAAAGAGGGUUUUGCGGUCCCCGCUGGGGUCUCUGCCCCCACCUCCUUCGGCCUUGGGCGCCCUGCCCGCCGCGGCGCCUCCGGGCUUUAGCAAACGCUGGCUUCGCUGGGGCUCGUUGCUGGGCAACAGGCAGCCCGGCUGCUGCCUCCGCCUUUCGCCUCAGCCCGCCCCCGCUGCUCUCCCUAAUAUGGAUUUAAUUAGUGUGCUUUUCCCCUUCAGACUGUGCAUGGCAAACUGCAUAGGGAAGCAGUGUUGCGCGGUGACCCAAACCCGCGUGUCAUGUCUUCAGGAGCCUGCUCUGCACACCACAUCCCUCCGCGGGCGGCUGGCGUGAACCUCAGGGAUCCUCGCAGGAACAGACCGCGGUGCCAUUCCCUCACAUGUCAGUCAGAAGCUUUAGAGGGAAUUUAGGUCAAAUGUGGCUGAGGACCGCGGAGAGACGAGGUGAAAGAGGAAUGGGGUAUGGGGUGCUGGGAGGGCAGCAGUUGCUAUAAGGCAAGCCUCUCGGCGACCCCGUCGGUUACUCCCGCAGCCUGGCUACAGUUUAGACCGUCACGAUGGGUGUUGGUUGUCUUUGACAUUUAGAUCAGCACCAACUUGAUAACUCUCAUUCUGCCUCCAGACCCUCCCUCCCAGUCUCUGUCUCAGGCUCUCUGCCUAUCAUUUCUCUCACUACCUCUUCGUUCAUUCUUCCUACCUGCAGAAACUCCUGAGCUCCCUUUGCUUCAAGUCCAGAGGUUUGGCAGUUCUGGAACGGUGAGGCCAGGACAAAGAGGUUCAAGGCAAAAAGCUAUCUGGAGAGCAAUAGCGAGUCUAUUUAUGAAACCAUGUUAAAAGGUCAAAUAAUUUCUUCCAGGUCAGUAUCCAAAUCAGGAAAGCUGGGUUUGAAAGACCUGCAAAGUGCUAUUUAACCAUUUCCUUAAUUGUAAGGUGGAAUACCUGCUUGGGUCAGGGUGGACAAAAUCAGCAACCCAGAGGCCAGACUUCCACUGUGUUAUGGAAUAUGCCUUCAGAUGGGCUUGGAGAAGAAGACAGCACCAAAUGUUUGGAAAUGUGAAAUCCACCAAUUGCAUCUGGCUUUAAAGAUGGCAGAUAAAUACGGUAACAGCACGUGAAACACCAUCACAGAGAGGAACAAAGUGAAAACCUGAGUCAGAAAGAAACAGAGGGGUGUCAGUUCAUCUCAAUGACAAGCUACAGUUGGCCUGGGAGAGAAGGGAGAUGAAAACGACUUCAGGGUUAGGUUGGUCUUCAUGCCAGGGGAAGGGGCAGAAAGG